GAUCAUGGCUCAGGAUGAACGCUAGCUACAGGCUUAACACAUGCAAGUCGAGGGGCAGCAUGGUCUUAGCUUGCUAAGGCCGAUGGCGACCAGCGCACGGGUGAGUAACACGUAUCCAACCUGCCGUCUACUCUCGGACAGCCUCCUGAAAGGAAGAUUAAUACAAGAUGGCAUCAUGAGUCCGCAUGUUCACAUGAUUAAAGGUAUUCCGGUAGACGA
rnacentral:rRNA from 1 species